rnacentral:lncRNA from 1 species
UUUUUUCCCCUCUUUAACAUGUAUUAGAUGAAUAUAUUCAGAAAAGAGGAGUGUUUAGGUUAAUUAUUUCACUAACUCAUCAGUUUCUGCUUUCCAAGAUAUAAAAUAUGACGCAGAGUAAAAAUGAGCUUUGAAAUAAUUAGUUCAAGGCUUUUCCUUUUCUUUUCUUUUCUUUUUUUUUUUUUUUUUUUUUUUACAAAAAACGGGAUCAGAUAGAAACAAGUAAUUAGUUCGUUCGUUACAUUGUUCUUUCUUGUUAACACAUAAAAACAAUUACGAAGCAUGAAGACAUUUUUAGGAUAAUUAUUACACUGAUUUCAUUUUUCUUGUUCUUUGCAUUUAAAAAGAGCAUGACAUAUAAGUUGCUAGAAAAAUCAUUUUUAAGUGAAUUCCAUUCUGGUAAAUGAGGUCAGACUAAUGGUCUUCAUGAUUGAAGUUUUCUGAAGUAGUGCCAGUUGGCAAAUUAGACUUAUUAUCUCCCCUACAGAAAAAAAAAAAAAAAUGUUUUUUUUUUUUUUUGUUUUGUUUUUUUCUUUUAAUGUAAAUACAGAUCCUUCAUUUACUAUCAGUUAUUUGGAAAUGUCACCAUGAUUUCCUAUAAGAAUACAAAUACCUUUUUACCUCAUUGAUCUGUCAGUUCAGUCUAGUGCUCUGGCUCUCAGCAGCCGUUGCCCCACUACACUGAUGGUGUCCCAAGCUAUAAGCAUGAGAGAAACAUCACUCAGGGAAGGAAAUGGCCACAUGAAGCACCCAAAUCAUACCUCUGCUCUCAUAAGUGGGCUCCUAUGAGUGGGCUAAAUCCCAGAGGAAGCAUACAAGAACAGAAGUGUAUUCCAGAGUACCUGGAGUCUGAGUGACAGACACUGGUAAAUGGGACUUUGCUGAUAAAUUUCCAUUUAGUCCUGGUGCAUUAACUAUUUCAUUUUUGUAGGCUUGUAAUCUUCUGAGGAAAAAUAUUCUCAGAGCUGUUGAUCUGACCUAGUUUUUGUUUCAUUUGUGUCCCAAUGUGGUGUAUCAUUUAGUUAUGAAAAAAUAAAAAUAAAAAAAAUACAGCCA